AGUGGACGCUGGCGGUAGGCCUAGCACAUGCAAGUCGAACGGCAGCACAGUAAGAGCUUGCUCUUACGGGUGGCGAGUGGCGGACGGGUGAGGAAUACAUCGGAAUCUACUUUUUCGUGGGGGAUAACGUAGGGAAACUUACGCUAAUACCGCAUACGACCUACGGGUGAAAGCAGGGGAUCUUCGGACCUUGCGCGAUUGAAUGAGCCGAUGUCGGAUUAGCUAGUUGGCGGGGUAAAGGCCCACCAAGGCGACGAUCCGUAGCUGGUCUGAGAGGAUGAUCAGCCACACUGGAACUGAGACACGGUCCAGACUCCUACGGGAGGCAGCAGUGGGGAAUAUUGGACAAUGGGCGCAAGCCUGAUCCAGCCAUACCGCGUGGGUGAAGAAGGCCUUCGGGUUGUAAAGCCCUUUUGUUGGGAAAGAAAAGCAGCAGGUUAAUACCCCGCUGUUCUGACGGUACCCAAAGAAUAAGCACCGGCUAACUUCGUG
rnacentral:rRNA from 1 species